CAAUAACGUAUAUUUAAGUUGUUGCAGUUAAAAAGCUCGUAGUUGGAUUUCGGGUGGGACGCAGCGGUCUCGCAUUGCGUUUGUACUGCUGCAGCCCUCCUUCUUGCCGGGGGCGGCCUCUCGGACUUCACUGUCUGGGGGUCAGAAUCGGCGAUGUUACUUUGAGUAAAUUAGAGUGUUCAAAGCAAGCUUACGCUCUGAAUAUAAUAGCAUGGGAUAACACGACAGGACUCUGGCCUAUCGUGUUGGUCUAUAGGACCAGAGUAAUGAUUAAGAGGGACAGUCGGGGGCAUUCGUAUUCCGUUGUCAGAGGUGAAAUUCUUGGAUUUACGGAAGACGAACAUCUGCGAAAGCAUUUGCCAAGGAUGUUUUCAUUGA
rnacentral:rRNA from 1 species